rnacentral:rRNA from 1 species
UACGGGGGGGGCAAGCGUUGUUCGGAAUUACUGGGCGUAAAGGGCUCGUAGGCGGCCAACUAAGUCAGACGUGAAAUCCCUCGGCUUAACCGGGGAACUGCGUCUGAUACUGGAUGGCUUGAGUCCGGGAGAGGGAUGCGGAAUUCCAGGUGUAGCGGUGAAAUUCGUAGAUAUUAGGAAGAACACCGGUGGCGAAGGCGGCCCAACUGGUCCGGUACUGACGCUGAGGAGCGAAAGCGUGGGGAGCGAACGG